AUGGAGAGAUAUAGGGAGCAAAAGAAGGACUUGCAUAUGGGGUUCAUUGACUUGGAGAAGGCCUAUGAUAAGAUACCACGGAAUGUCAUGUGGUGGGCCUUGGAGAAACACAAAGUCCCAGCAAAGUACAUUACCCUCAUCAAGGACAUGUACGAUAAUGUUGUGACAAGUGUUCGAACAAGUGAUGUCAACACUGACGACUUCCCGAUUAAGAUAGGACUGCAUCAGGGGUCAGCUUUGAGCCCUUAUCUUUUUGCAUUGGUGAUGGAUGAGGUCACAAGGGAUAUACAAGGAGAUAUCCCAUGGUGUAUGCUCUUUGCGGAUGAUGUGGUGCUAGUUGACGAUAGUCGGACAGGGGUAAAUAGG
rnacentral:rRNA from 1 species